UAUUGCUUCCUUUGGCAGUACAUUUACUAAUUUAGAAUGAUACAGAGAUUAGCCUGACCCCUGCAAAAGGGUGCCAUGCAAAUGUGAAGUGUCCCAUAUUUAA
rnacentral:snRNA from 1 species